rnacentral:tRNA from 1 species
GCCAGGGUGGCUCAGUGGUUGAGCACCUGCCUUCAGUGCAAGGCAUGAUCCCGGAGUCGUGGGAUCAAGUCCCACAUUGGGCU